rnacentral:lncRNA from 1 species
GUGCUCCAACAGGGCCCCUGAGCAGGACUGGAGGCAGUCAGAGAAGGACCUGUGGGAGCAGCUGGUAGAAAGCAGGCGGCAGAGGGCCGAGCUGGCCAGCCAUCUUCGAGCAGUGCUGGAGGCCCUAUCGGAGCAAGCCCUUGUGCUGCAGAGGCGAGAGCAUGAGCUGGGACUCAGCUGGUCCUAAAGCAGAAACAUGCCACAGCAGUUCUGCUGGCCUCCAUCCUGAAACCCGUCAGCAGCUGGAGAGCAGCUGGAGAGGCAAUGUAUCUCAGACCCAGCUGGAGGCAGAGGAUGCACAGCUGGAGCGUGUCGUGAUAGAUAACAGCCGAAAGCAGCCCCUCAGGGCCCCAGGGCAGGGGUCCAUGCUGGGCUGUCAGCUGGGCUGUUGGCUGCCAGUCCGCCUGCGUUAUCAGAGGCUGCAGACACUGCCCUGCCUGGUGGGAGGCAGGGAAGCUAGGCCUACCUAUCCGAGGCUCUGUGCUGCCUUUGACCCUCCCACUCAGUCUCCUCCCAGCAAGUGGAGUGGCCUGGCCUGCCUGGAGCAGGAGAGGCACCAAAGGCAGGGAUCCCAGGGACAGGCUGAGUGGAGGAGGCCAGACCAGGACAUAGAAGACAAUACACUCCAGGUCCCGGAGGUACUAGUGCCCCUCAGGAAACAGCUAGAAGCACAAGAAUCACAUCCCAGGCUUUGUGAGGAGAUGGCUGAGUACUGGAGGACACGCUGGCACCAGGUGGCAGUUGCCCUGAAAUUUAAAGAGGAGGAACUGCAAAGACUCCAGAUGCAGAGUGGGACCUGGCCUCCCCAGGAGCUGUGGGACCCAGGUCUGCCAAGGAACUGGAGUCUGCAGUGUGGACUCCACCAGAGGCCAAUGGGGAGUGGGACCUGCUGUAGGUCUGAGCACCAAGGGCUCCCGCACCAGGAGGACAGGAGCCUCCAGUCAUCUCCACUUCACAACCCCUGAAAGCCUCAGCUUGUGGAUCCAGAGCUGGGUACUGAGCCGUACUGGACCAGCGGGCCCUCUCCUGGGAUCGCUGGACUUGGAGCAGAAGAGACCCUCCAGGACUGAAGACUGGACACACAAAACUUGGGAAUUGUCAACUGACCUAUUAUUCACCUCGUGAAAAAAGCUGGAUUUAAAUGAGCGCGAAUGGAGCUGACAAUUCCCAGAAACUCGAAUUGGGAUGGUGAGAUUUUAGUUCAGCCCAGGGCGGUCUCAUGCGUGGGUGGUAAAGUUGAGCUUUGAGGUGGUCUUCAGAGGGAGAGGAAUACGCUUCCCGGGUUCCGGGCCCUUCGGGAUGUCAACACAGGUCCAGCUGCCCUUAGGCUCCUCCGCACACCCUGGAUCCAAUAAUAAAUGCCUUUCCUCUCUGCCGCCA